CACGUAUUAACCCCCCACCCCACCCCCCAGUCUCUCUAAACUCUGGUAAUUGUCUUUAAAUGUUAUCUGAGGGCAAAACCACUACUCCAGAGGGCAUCCGGUUUGUUCUUAAAUAGAAAAAGAGACUCAUACAGAGAAGGAGCUCACAGCUACAAAGGUGUGCACACGCGCAUCAGUAUGUACACGUACAGGGCGGUCAUGGGAUCUUCGGCAACCAUAGCCAGGGAUUUCUGUCAGGAGAGAAUGUGCUUAAUCUACUAAAAUUUUCUGAGAGGAUUUUGCUUCAUAAGCCCUUUGGGGGUGAAAAUGAAAAUGGAAUUUAUACUAAGGAGUGAAGUCUAGAGAACAUAAAAUCAUGGCUGACUUCCUGGAAAGAAAAUGAAGUCCAGAUAUCCAGUGACUCAUUCCAACAUUCAGUGGAGGAUGAAAAUUUGGCCUCAACACAUCUUCAAACAUUUAUAGAGUGUUUGCCAAGUACAAGAUCCCAGUGAAGGAAAAUACAAGAGAUAUCUCAUCCACAGACUACGCAGAAAUAUGAGAGAGGCCUGCCAAGCUCCAAGUAGAACAAGCUUCAGCCAACUUCAGCUGCCAUAAACUUAAAUAUGUGUUCCUUCCACUUGAGAAUGGCUUACUUCCGUCACUUAAAGGAAGAGCUGACUCUUCCACUGCAGACGUUCACCAGCCUUGGAAAAAAGCUAUAAAGUAAAUUAAAGUGCCCACAAGGUAUUUACUGAUCUACAAAAUGUUAACCAACCUUACGAUCUUUCCAGCAUGCCUCACAAGGAGGCUAAAUGGAUGAAAUUGUGUAGUGAUAACCAAACUCCCAUCUCCAAGCUUACCUGUAAAUAGUCACUCUCAAGCAAAGAGGUCAGAAAAAAAUACCAGAGAGGAGAGGAAAAAUGAACUCCUGUUGCUUUGAUGAGAAAUGUCCAAAUGCAGAAUAAAGAGAAAAGAGAGGCCCCAGGAAAGAACAUAUGAUUAUCUCUACACUGUUUCAGGACAACCAUCCUGAUAAUGGUGCUUUCGGCCUAUUGACUCUAUGGUUUGUCUAUCAGAGCAUCCUUUGGAUAGAGUUCAUACAGCCAGGCCACCACAUGUUUAGGGAACAAGACCAGUUAGAGAUGAGACCAUGCCUGUCACCAAAUGUAACACAUCUCUCAAUCACAUGUGUGGCGAGGGAAAGACAUUUAAAACUAGACAUCAGGACUGAGCUGGGGUCGUGAAGUCCAGUGAAAAUUUUCUUAAGCCUCGAAAGGAAUGAAGGCAAGACCACUCGAGCACCAAUUCUUUGUAAAGAAAAGAACAAUGGGAUCUGUCAUGUGACGACAGACCAGAAUCUGGGGAGUGAGGAGCCUUGAAAAGGUAUAUAAUAAGUAUGUUGCAUCAGUAUUGCCUUGUAGGAAAUCAUCUCUCAAAGCUCCAUGCCUUGUGCCUUGUCAGGUCAAUAGAUUCUCAUAUCUUUUAUUUUUUUCUGUUAUUUUAUUAUAGAAAUAAAGGAGAAGGAAGAAGCAAAGGAACACUUAUCAUUUACUAUGUGUACAGAACGUCACAUAGGUAGUCAUAAGGUUCCCAGAUUUCCUGAUUUGGGGGUUUCCCUUGAAUGCUUAGCAAAUGUGACCUGAGGCUCCAUCCCACACAAUCUCUUCUUCAUGAGUUUCUCCUUUCUUGAUAAGUCUGAGAUUUGCCAAAAAAAUAAAAAAUAAAAAUAAAUAAAAAUAAAAAUGCACCCACAGUCCUCUAUACUGACCUUCAUCAUCUCUUACUGGACUUCACCUCCAGACAUUUCUCUCCAUUGCUCUUGCCUUCUACCAACCUCUUGCUGUCUUCUCUCCACCCUGAGCAACAGCCUUUUUCUUUUUCCCAGAAAGCACAAGUAUCACCUAGUUUUAAUGUAUGAUAAAAGUUUACAAGUGGCUUGAGAAUCAUGUAAGGCAGUUACAAUGCCAGGAUGGAAAAUCCAGACCACACACCACAUAUUUCCACUCCUGGAAAUGAACUAAGCUGCUUCACAGGAACCCGCGACUGGCUGUUUCCUUCUGAGGCCCCAGUUUGCAACCCUGCUACUUAUUGACUUGCUCAUUA